AUUAAACUCAAGAGCGACUGACUUGAAAAUCUGUAGCAAACUCUUUCGAGUUGUUUUACCUUUAAUACAAUGUGUUUUAAGGUUCAGUGCGACAAGUGUGAGAAGACAACGUGGAAAGGCUGUGGUAAACAUGCUGAAGCAGUAAUGAGGGAUGUACCUGAAGACCAGAAGUGCAAGUGUCCUCGAGACAGGUCUGAUAAUUGAACCAGCAAUCACUUGAGCUGACUUCUGUUUUCUUUUUUUUUGCUACCAGGUGAGCACUGUUUAUGCCUAUUUUGUUAUUUAACUGUGUGUAAUUUUUGUAACACUUAAGUUGCAACUUUUGAUUGUAUUAAGUUUCAAUCUAUCUGCUCUUCCAAACUGAUCUCAGCGUAACUUGUCUCUACGAUUUGAAAUGUUAUGGGAUUGGAAUAGACCUGUACGGACACUCCUAUUCGAAAAAUUUCUCCAGUCCUAAAAAGUGGGGUUCCCUGUUAUGAUGGAGGGUAAGGUGUGGUAUAUCACAUGAUUAGGAAGGUGCCAAAUUGUUGAGAGCCGUAUUUGUUAUGAGUAAAAUUUUAUAGAUAACACAAUUCUUUACUUGGGGCCAAUAAGACUGAAAAAUUCUGGGGAAGUGGAAGGGUUAUUGAGUCUCAUCUAACACUGUUUCAAGAUGGAAUUGUUUUGCAUGUACUGUCUGCAUUCUUCCAGUCUUCGUCAGAUGAUAAGGUCAAAUGGUUAGACCAUUACCACAUGAAGCCUGUUCCUUCUCUGUGGAUUUUUUGUUUUCAAUAGCUGGGAGUGGCACAUUCCAAUCCUCAUGGAUUGAGAGAGAUUUCCCUCGUGUUUAGGUUCUGUUUAGACAUCCAUGCUGUCACAAUUUCUCUCAUACUGUCUCAGCUUAUGUCUUGAUGAAAUCACCCCUCUAAUCCUAUAUUUGUAAUAACCAGUGUGACAAUCAAGUUUUAAUUUGUACUAAAGCAGUAGUAAGUGGUGUUGUGUGCCAUAAAAUGAAAUGACUUAAUUAUAAUGAACUCCAAAGUGUGCUGCCAAAUAUAGAUGGAUGCGGAAGAAGAGAAAUAAGUUGGUGUUACUGUUCCUCCAUAGGCAAUGGUUGAACUGCUUUAGGCAAACUUAUUAAUUGCCCGAGUCCCGCAUUCAAUGACUGUUGCAAACAAACAUAAUCCUUACUCCUCUGAUAUCACAACACUAAAUUUCCUUUAAUUGCUGCAAUAAUCAUUUACCAAACUGGUAAGGAUGCUGUAUAACAAAGCCCCUGCUUUUACAAGUUCAUGAUCAAAUUUUGCAAGGGGCUCCAUCUCCUAAAACCAAUUUCAUCAAGUCAUAUUAAGGAUUUUACAGGGACAAUAAUUAUUAAUGAGUUGCAACUUAAGUGCAGUGAAGACUAUGAUUAAUUUAACAUCAAAAGCAUUUGCAUAAAUUGGGCCUUUUGACAGCUUUAAACCUGUUUAUUUAUCCAUGUUUUCAUUCCACAAGUAAACUUGGAAAAUUAUUGAAAGUUUGGUGAGAUAAUCACUUCUUGCAAAACUGGGCCCAGCAAAUGCUGAUUAGCGUUAACCUAAGGUUAAAUUUUAAUCCAGGUUUUUUUAUUUCUUCAUUCAAAAGUCUUUUAGGGAAAAUUUUCACUAUUCCUUUUAAAACAUCCAGUGAUCAAAUUGCCAUCAAAAAGAUUUGUACUGAAUCUUCUUUUAAAGCUUUCAGACCUGAAAUCAAAUUUCACUCUAACCCUGGGUUUCCUUAGCCCAGCUUUGAACAACCCAGGCCUGAAGUGUUACCUAGGUGUGUGUGUAAGAUCACUCUUCAGAGUGGUGAUCUGCCACCACUGUCUGUGUAUGUGGUAACAAGUUGCAUUGCCCACAAGUUCUGUCACCCCAAAGGAAGUCAUGUCACCCUGAAGUAUGAUUCUGUUUUUUGUAAGUGUAUUUUGACAUAAGGUUAAGGCUUGGAGAAAGUUAUUGAAUUUAUUUAAUUGGAAAAUUAUUAAUGCAAAUAACCAACAAGUUGUAAGUAAUAGUAACUUGGCAAUCCCUAUCAUCCCUUUUUCCAGAGAUGGUUUUGAUACUUGGGCAGUUGAACUUAAGUCAAAAGUUACGGUGAUGCAAAUUCAAGUUGGGGACAAUAAAACCUUCUGGGGUGAUGGAACUUGGGGUGACAGUUCAAGGGGACAAUGUCACCUACUGUACAACUGUGUAUGCCAGAGUACCAGCCAAUUUACAACAACUAAAGUACUGAUCUAUUAAUGUGACAAAAAAUAAUUUUGACACAUAUUGCUUUAUAGGAAUACAAUUUGUGUCAGCGAACCACCACUCAAAUAAAUUCAAUUUACUUGAUUGCAGGUCCCCUUUUUUCUUUCUGUUUUCUAUUCUUUUUUGCAGGUCCAUCUUGUGGUGUUUUGAAAUUGUGGAGAAUCACAAUGGAAUCAUCACCAGUACUGUUUUAAGUUUGUAAAAUCGAGUAACUCACUGAAGUUGUCACAAUUCUUUACUUAAAGAUGCAAUUUUCAUCACUUGGUGUAGUCCAACUCCUUUCAUUCAUUCCAGAUGGAUUAAAUUCAUUAUCAGCUAUUUUAGUAAUGUUUAAGAUUUUAAAAAUGACCUUUACAGACAUGCAUCUAGCUGCAGUUUUACUUGAGGUUGAGUGUAUAUUAAGUAAUAUACAGUGAGACACAAGUAUAGUUAAUUAACUUUCAUAGUAACAUACAAUGUCACCCUUGUGAAUACUUUCCGCUGGCUUCAUACUAUGUGUAAAGGUUAAAAAUAGUUAUCAUAUUUACUAUGUGUAUAUAGAGUAUACAAACAAGCUUUGACGUACUUCUAAAAAACUCCCUGAUAAAGUCAGAUAUAAUUUGUCAGACAAAAAGUGUAGGAGAUUUAAACAGGUUUUUACUACUUCAGUUUGUGCAGUGCUUCCCACUAGUUUAUCAUUAAAAAAAAUGCCAUCAGGCAGGGUGGACAAGUUGCCUCUCACCGAGAGUAGCUACAUGUAUUCAGUGGAACUCCAGAGCAAAUGCAGUGAACUCAGGGUAACCAUGAGCAAAUGCAGUAAACACAGAAUAGCCAAGAGCAAAUGCAGUAAACAGAGUAACUAAGAGCAAAUGCAGUGAACACAGGAUAAUCAAGAGCAAAGUAACGCAGUGAACACUGGGUAGCUUAAUUGGCAAUGCUGCCUCCUUGGACUUAAAUUCUUAAGAAUACUCGCUGGAAUCCUGACAGAUGCUUGAUCCGACAGGGAAACGAGGGGCUAACAAAUUGAUCUGACUGCUUUGGUCAAUUUGAGGGCACUAUCUGAAUAAAUUAUGUUUUUUUUUCUCUAUAUUGCCUCGGACAGGCAAUAUACGUUAAAAUUCGGUUUCCUGGAAAAACUGGAUUAAGGAUCAUCGGAUCAAGGAUCAAGGAUCAGUUCAAAAUGAAUCAAAUAAAUUAAAUAAAUUAAUAGGCGUAAUUGAUUGCUCAUCUACGUAACUCAGUCAAGAUCUCCCGUAUUCUAAAGCGAAAAUAGGAGAAAAAAUAAAAAAUCAAUGUCCCUUA
rnacentral:lncRNA from 1 species